rnacentral:rRNA from 1 species
UACGAAGGGUGCAAGCGUUACUCGGAAUUACUGGGCGUAAAGCGUGCGUAGGUGGUUUGUUAAGUCUGUUGUGAAAGCCCCGGGCUCAACCUGGGAAUGGCAAUGGAUACUGGCAAGCUAGAGUGCGGUAGAGGGUAGUGGAAUUCCCGGUGUAGCGGUGAAAUGCGUAGAGAUCGGGAGGAACACCAGUGGCGAAGGCGGCUACCUGGACCAGCACUGACACUGAGGAACAAAAGCUAGGGGAGCAAACAGG